rnacentral:rRNA from 1 species
GACGAACGCUGGCGGCGGGCUUAACACAUGCAAGUCGAACGGAAAGGCCCGGCUUUUGUGGGGUGCUCGGGUGGCGAACGGGAGAGUAACACGUGAGUAGCCUGCCCUUGACUUUGGGAUAACUUCAGGAAACUGGGGCUAAUACCGGAUAGGAGCUCCUGGUGCAUGGUGGGGGUGGGAAAGUGUCGGCGGGGGGGGGUGGACGCGCGUCGUAUCAGCGAGUGGGUGGGGGAGUGGCCUACCAAGGCGUAGACCGGUAGCUGGGCGGAGAGGAUGACAGGACACAGUGGGACUGAGCCACGGCCCAAACUCCCACGGGAGGCAGCAGUGGGGAAUAUUGGACAAUGGGCGCAAGCCUGAUCCAGCCAUGCCGCGUGAGUGAUGAAGGCCUUAGGGUUGUAAAGCUCUGUCACCGGAGAAGAUAAUGACGGUAUCCGGAGAAGAAGCCCCGGCUAACUUCGUG